rnacentral:rRNA from 1 species
CCUACGGGAGGCUGCAGUCGAGAAUCAUUCACAAUGGGGGAAACCCUGAUGGUGCGACGCCGCGUGGGGGAAUGAAGGUCUUCGGAUUGUAAACCCCUGUCAUGUGGGAGCAAAGUAAAAAGAUAGUACCACAAGAGGAAGAGACGGCUAACUCUGUUCCAGCAGCCGCGGUAAUACAGAGGUCUCAAGCGGUGUUCGGAGUCACUGGGCGUAAAGCGUGCGUAGGCUGUUUCGUAAGUCGUGUGUGAAAGGCGCGGGCUCAACCCGCGGACGGCACAUGAUACUGGGAGACUAGAGUAAAGGAGGGGGGAGCGGAAUUCGCGGUGUAGCAGUGAAAUGCGUAGAUAUCGAGAGGAACACUCGUGGCGAAGGCGGGUUCCUGGACAUUAACUGACGCUGAGGCACGAAGGCGAGGGGAGCGAAAGGGAUUAGAUACCCGGGUAGUC